CGAAGAAGGCCUUCGGGUUGUAAAGCUCUGUUGCUCGGGGAGAGCGGCAUGGGGGAUGGAAAGCCCCAUGCGAGACGGUACCGAGUGAGGAAGCCCCGGCUAACUACGUGCCAGCAGCCGCGGUAAAACGUAGGGGGCGAGCGUUGUCCGGAAUCACUGGGCGUAAAGGGUGCGUAGGCGGUCGAGCAAGUCUGGAGUGAAAGUCCAUGGCUCAACCAUGGGAUGGCUUUGGAAACUGCUUGACUUGAGUGCUGGAGAGGCAAGGGGAAUUCCACGUGUAGCGGUGAAAUGCGUAGAGAUGUGGAGGAAUACCAGUGGCGAAGGCGCCUUGCUGGACAGUGACUGACGCUGAGGCACGAAAGCGUGGGGAGCAAACA
rnacentral:rRNA from 1 species